rnacentral:rRNA from 1 species
UACAGAGGGUGCAAGCGUUGUUCGGAAUUAUUGGGCGUAAAGAGCUCGUAGGCGGUGUGUCACGUCGGCCGUGAAAACCUGGGGCUUAACUCUGGGCGUGCGGUCGAUACGGGCAUCACUAGAGUUCGGCAGGGGAGACUGGAAUUCCUGGUGUAGCGGUGAAAUGCGCAGAUAUCAGGAGGAACACCGGUGGCGAAGGCGGGUCUCUGGGCCGAUACUGACGCUGAGGAGCGAAAGCAUGGGUAGCGAACAGG